CAGCCGCCGCGGUAAUACGGAGGGAGCUAGCGUUGUUCGGAAUUACUGGGCGUAAAGCGCACGUAGGCGGUUAUUCAAGUCAGAGGUGAAAGCCCGGGGCUCAACCCCGGAACUGCCUUUGAAACUAGAUGACUGGAAUCUUGGAGAGGUCAGUGGAAUUCCGAGUGUAGAGGUGAAAUUCGUAGAUAUUCGGAAGAACACCAGUGGCGAAGGCGACUGACUGGACAAGUAUUGACGCUGAGGUGCGAAAGCGUGGGGAGCAAACAGGAUUAGAUACCCGUGUAGUCCCUGUCUCUUAUAC
rnacentral:rRNA from 1 species